CCACGGACAAUAUCUUCAGCGAUACAAAGUCAUAUAUCAUUUACAUAUUCAUAAGAUUUUAACAUUAAUAUGUGUUAGCAUUUCCACAGCUGCAUCGAAUUUCAGCAUUUGUAUUAGAAUCAACGGGAUCAUCAGCUGCUUGUAAUUAUCAGAACAUGACCAAGUCACUAGAAGCAGUGUUAAGGAAACAAAGUUUUGAGGCAGCUGUAGCCUAUUCUAGAAGCAGCGAUAUUCUCCUACACUAUGGAAAAAAGCUCGCAAUAAAUGCUGGAAUUAAACAAGGGGACAAAGUCUUAGAUAUGGGCUGUGGAACCGGAGACUUCAUUUCUUGGUAAAGUUGUCGGGAUUAAAGGUCAAGUGGUUGGCGUUGAUCCAGACAUGACAAGAAUUCAAUACGCUUCACAAAACAAUUCCGAUGUAAACGUGUCAUUUAAGAUUGGUGACAGCUCCAGUGAAUUUUUACAACGAAGCAAAAUGUUUUACAAUAUUCAUUUCAGCAAUUUUUCUUUCCAAUGGCUUUCUCCAGAAAAAAAGAAAGAGUUUGGGCAAGUUGCUUUUGACAGCUUAAAGCAAGGGGGGAUAAUUGCAAUUCAGAGUCACGAAGGAGAAUCAGAAAUGCUAAUACAGGCAGAAAAAUUGAUUUUGAAUUAUGAAUCAUGCAAAGAAAAUAAUCUCAUUGGCAGGUCGCUUCAAUUCUAUAUAAGCAAAUCCGAAACGGAAGCUAUGAUAAAGCAAUGUGGUUUUAAAAUUAUUUCAAGUGAAUACCACCCAGUAAAAUAUACAUACGCUUCUAUUCGUGAUUUCGUCAAAUUUCUCGUAACUGCUGAUUAUGAAGAUAGAGAAAGCGUUUCCUUGAUUGGUCUCACAAAGUUCACAGAAUUGUUUGGAAAUGACGACGGAAGUCUUGACUAUGUCGAACCCACAGUUUACCAAAUUGUAGCACAAAAGAUUUGAUUCUAAAGUGAGCAGACUAUUUUCAUUUGAUUAAAAAGUAUCCAAAAAUAUUAAAAAGUACCCCAUUGCUCAAUUAUAACAAUAGCAAUAUAGAUAUCCUGGCAGGAAAAAUAGCUAGUAAUUAGAAAUACUAAAAAGAAAGAAUUUUAUUGUUACAAAAAAAGCUUGCAAAAUAAGAAUAAAAGUUUUCUCCUGUACGAAAAAGUUGCUCUUAAACGGUGUAAUAUACAAGAAGUGACAAACUUUGACGACAAAAACCAAGGAUACAUCUGUCAUAUACAGAGACUGCGCAGAUAAACGUCAUUAAAAUUCUCAUUAUCUUACAUUUAUUACAAUGGCAAUUCAUAUAUUAUUCCAAAAAGCUGGACAUUAAUGUUCAUAAAACAAUUAUAUCGUAUUCGUUGCUAUCUUGUAAAGAUUUUUGCCUUGUUACUUUCUGUAGCUUGUAGUAAAAUGACGUCACAACAGGGCAAGCUUUUCGUGACAAAUGCUAAACUAUGAAAAGAAACUUGUAAAAAUAGCCUUGUUCUCCCCACUUUAUCUACAAUAACAGCAAUUAAAAAUAACGUUGAGAAUUUUCACUCUU